GGCCCGAGUGGUGAUCGUGAUUAUGGGUCUAAAGGGUCCGUAGCCGGUUUGGUCAGUCCUCCGGGAAAGUCUGAUAGCUCAACUAUUAGGCUUUCGGGGGAUACUGCCAGACUUGGAACCGGGAGAGGUAAGAGGUACUACAGGGGUAGGAGUGAAAUCUUGUAAUCCCUGUGGGACCACCUGUGGCGAAGGCGUCUUACCAGAACGGGUUCGACGGUGAGGGACGAAAGCUGGGGGCACGAACCGGAUUAGAUACCCGGGUAGUCCCAGCCGUAAACGAUGCUCGCUAGGUGUCAGGCAUGGCGCGACCGUGUCUGGUGCCGCAGGGAAGCCGUGAAGCGAGCCACCUGGGAAGUACGGCCGCAAGGCUGAAACUUAAAGGAAUUGGCGGGGGAGCACAACAACGGGUGGAAGCCUGCGGUUUAAUUGGACUCAACGCCGGACAACUCACCGGGGGCGACAGCAAUAUGUAGGCCAAGCUGAAGACUUUGCCUGAAUCGCUGAGGGGAGGUGCAUGG
rnacentral:rRNA from 1 species